rnacentral:rRNA from 1 species
UACGUAGGGUGCGAGCGUUAAUCGGAAUUACUGGGCGUAAAGCGUGCGCAGGCGGUUUUGUAAGCCAGAUGUGAAAUCCCCCCGGCUUAACCGGGGAACGGGCGCCGAUACGACCGGCCUGGAGGGACGUAGGGGGGGCUGGAACUUCCGGUGGAGCGGUGAAAUGCGUUGAGAUCGGAAGGAACGCCCGUGGCGAAAGCGGCCCUGGACGUCUUCUGACGGCUGAGACGCGAAAGCCAGGGGAGCGAACGGG